rnacentral:rRNA from 1 species
GACGAAGGGGGCUAGCGUUGUUCGGAAUCACUGGGCGUAAAGCGCACGUAGGCGGACUUUUAAGUCAGAGGUGAAAUCCCAAGGCUCAACCUUGGAACUGCCUUUGAUACUGGAAGUCUUGAGUUCGGGAGAGGUGAGUGGAACUGCGAGUGUAGAGGUGAAAUUCGUAGAUAUUCGCAAGAACACCAGUGGCGAAGGCGGCGCACUGGCCCGAUACUGACGCUGAGGUGCGAAAGCGUGGGGAGCAAACAGG